rnacentral:rRNA from 1 species
GAGUUUGAUCAUGGCUCAGGACGAACGCUGGCGGCGUGCCUAAUACAUGCAAGUCGAGCGCGGGAAGCGAGUGGAUCCCCUUCGGGGGUGAAGCUCGUGGAACGAGCGGCGGACGGGUGAGUAACACGUGGGCAACCUGCCUGUAAGAUCGGAAUAACCCCGGGAAACCGGGGCUAAUGCCGGGUAAUACUUUCUUUCGCAUGAAGGAAAGUUGAAAGAUGGCUUCUUGCUAUCACUUACAGAUGGGCCCGCGGCGCAUUAGCUAGUUGGUGAGGUAACGGCUCACCAAGGCGACGAUGCGUAGCCGACCUGAGAGGGUGAUCGGCCACACUGGGACUGAGACACGGCCCAGACUCCUACGGGAGGCAGCAGUAGGGAAUCUUCCGCAAUGGACGAAAGUCUGACGGAGCAACGCCGCGUGAACGAUGAAGGUCUUCGGAUCGUAAAGUUCUGUUGUUAGGGAAGAACAAGUACCGUGCGAAUAGAGCGGUACCUUGACGGUACCUAACGAGGAAGCCCCGGCUAACUACGUGCCAGCAGCCGCGGUAAUACGUAGGGGGCAAGCGUUGUCCGGAAUUAUUGGGCGUAAAGCGCGCGCAGGCGGUUCCUUAAGUCUGAUGUGAAAGCCCACGGCUCAACCGUGGAGGGUCAUUGGAAACUGGGGAACUUGAGGACAGAAGAGGAGAGUGGAAUUCCACGUGUAGCGGUGAAAUGCGUAGAUAUGUGGAGGAACACCAGUGGCGAAGGCGACUCUCUGGUCUGUUUCUGACGCUGAGGUGCGAAAGCGUGGGUAGCAAACAGGAUUAGAUACCCUGGUAGUCCACGCCGUAAACGAUGAGUGCUAGGUGUUAGGGGGCUUCCACCCCUUAGUGCUGAAGUUAACGCAUUAAGCACUCCGCCUGGGGAGUACGGCCGCAAAGGCUGAAACUCCAAGGAAAUUGAGGGGGGCCCCCCACAAACCGGGGGAACCUUGUGGGUUUAAUUUCUAAACCACCCCGAGAGAACCUUUACUCGGGUCUUUGGAGAUCUCUUGGGACAUCCCCAAAAAAGAAAAGGGCUUUCUCCUCUCGGGGGAACAAAGAUAACAUCUUGUUUAUUAU